rnacentral:rRNA from 1 species
UACGUAGGGUGCGAGCGUUGUCCGGAAUUAUUGGGCGUAAAGGGCUCGUAGGCGGUUUGUCGCGUCGGGAGUGAAAUCCACUGGCUUAACUGGUGGCUUGCUUUCGAUACGGGCAGACUGGAGGUAUGCAGGGGAGAACGGAAUUCCUGGUGUAGCGGUGAAAUGCGCAGAUAUCAGGAGGAACACCGGUGGCGAAGUCGGUGCUCUGGGCAUGUCCUGACGCUGAGGAGCGAAAGCCAGGGGAGCAAACGGG